CGUGAUGCUGUUGACGUGGUCGGGACUCUGUUCACGUGACUGUUGUUAACAUGACGCUUAUAACUGCGCUGUGGCGGACAUGACAGCUCACAGCUCCUCAGAAGCUCCGUGCACCGUGAGCUGUCCAGUGAGAGGAUGGUUUCAUGAUCAAAUCUUCAUUUACUGUCCACAUUAUCAGAUGAGGACGUCACCAAAGAGUGUCAUUUGAGUCAAUGUUUACAUUUAUGUACAGAUAAUUAAGAACAAUUAGUUAAUUGUAAAAUGCUAAUUAUUUUCUCCUGCCACCUUUCAGACAUUAUAAUCCAACUUGGAUGGAAAAACUUUGUGACCUUAAUGACACCCAGCAACACGAGUUAGACACACAAGCACCACAGGGGAGGAUCUGCAGCAAAGGGCCCACCGGAAAUCAAACCUUGGCCGCCAUGAUGACGACAUGUGGCACUUGAGUGUGUGAUUACGACUACCAGCAUGAACCUCAACACCUUCUUUGCUGUUCCACUAGUGUGACCCAUGAUCGGAUACAAGUUGUCAAGGAUAAACGGGAAGAGAAUCAUGUCAGCCCACAGACAACCGGUUGACCUGUGAGUCUUCAAGCAGUAAUGAUGACUACUCCUGCCUUAAGUUCCAGUUUCCUGAACAUCAUGUCGGCAUGAGAUUCUGUCCCCACCUGUCUUCAGUCUGGACCCAAUGAGUUUUUUUUUUUUACAGUGCGUUUACAGUCACAUGGUUUUUUUCGAGGCUUUGUCUGUUAUUUACCAUUCAGGGUUGUUCAGAAACAUCCAAUUUGUCAUUCUCAUUUGAAGGGCUUGCUGCUGUGAUUCUUUUGUGUACACCAGGAUUUCUUUGUAUUUUGGCAUUUUACACAAAUGUUUUUGAAAGAUGGUCAACAAAGUUGCACAAAUAAAUGUUUAACUGCU